GACAAAGUGCUAUAAUAGUGGUGACAGCGGUGUUGUUUCUGACUAGAUCUCGCCAGCUACAACUCUGGCAAGACAGCCAUGGCAUUGUGGUUGCAUCCGAAGAGAGGGGUGGCGUGUGGUGCACUUUGUAACUGUAAACUCGCCUACCAGCAGCCAAAUCCAGAGAGGCAGCGUGAAAAAUAAAAAAUGGGGAAGGGGAGAGAGAAAGAGAGUGAUGGGUCGUAGUGUGGUUACUUUUGCUGAUGGAGGUGUGUGGUUUGGCGUUGGUGGUAGCAUCCGGCCGUUCGGUGGUCAAUUUCGGCGGUCGGUGGUGAGAGAGAAAGGGGAGAAGAGAAUAGAGAUGUGAGAUUUGUGUAUUUCUGCGUGUGUUUGUGCAUGUAGAGUGUGUGUGGGGUGGUGUGUAUAUAUUAUUAUUUCCAAAUAAUUGUGUGGUUCCCCCUUUUUAAGGGGGGUGGGUAGAAAAU
rnacentral:lncRNA from 1 species